rnacentral:rRNA from 1 species
CCUACGGGAGGCUGCAGUGAGGAAUAUUGGUCAAUGGGCGCGAGCCUGAACCAGCCAAGUCGCGUGAGGGAAGACGGCCCUACGGGUUGUAAACCUCUUUUGCCGGGGAGCAACGGGCGCCACGUGUGGCGCCACUGAGAGUACCCGGAGAAAAAGCAUCGGCUAACUCCGUGCCAGCAGCCGCGGUAAUACGGAGGAUGCGAGCGUUAUCCGGAUUUAUUGGGUUUAAAGGGUGCGUAGGCGGCCUGUUAAGUCAGCGGUAAAAGCCCGGGGCUCAACCCCGGCGAGCCGUUGAAACUGGCGGGCUGGAGUUGGAGAGAAGUACGCGGAAUGCGCGGUGUAGCGGUGAAAUGCUUAGAUAUCGCGCAGAACCCCGAUUGCGAAGGCAGUUCACUGGACUGCAACUGACACUGAGGCUCGAAAGUGUGGGUAUCAAACAGGAUUAGAUACCCCAGUAGUC